GGAGCAAACAGGAUUAGAUACCCUGGUAGUCCACGCUGUAAACGAUGAGUACUAGGUGUCGGGGGUUACCCCCUUCGGUGCCGCAGCUAACGCAUUAAGUACUCCGCCUGGGAAGUACGCUCGCAAGCGUGAAACUCAAAGGAAUUGACGGGGACCCGCACAAGUAGCGGAGCAUGUGGUUUAAUUCGAAGCAACGCGAAG
rnacentral:rRNA from 1 species